CAUUAAGAAGCUUUCAGCGCUAGCCUUUUAAGCUAGAGAUUGGGAGACAACUCUCCCCUUAAUGG
rnacentral:tRNA from 1 species